rnacentral:lncRNA from 1 species
GCCCAAUUAGUUAGCAGAGCUAUAAUUAGACUAAAUGCAGCACUUGUUCCCAGGUGGUGCUGAUACUGCUGAGUGGAAAAAUCACACCUCCAGACUGAGAGUAUUACAUUUUAGCCUGUGCAAGGAUAUACAGUCUCAGUACUCAGAGGAAAAAGUGCAGUCAACUUCUGGCAAGAGCUGCUAUGAACCAGCAAGACAUAGAGGACGCAGUUAGGAGUCACCCUUCCAGGUGUUGAAGCGCAAAGGGCAGAACUUAAAGUUGGAAGGAGAAUGUAUUUGGGUGGAGACAGGUGUUGGAGACCAGGACACCUGGAGUAGCUCCUGAUAAGAAGCUACUUUUUACUACUGCUUACAUUUCUUUUCUUGAAGCUUGGACAUGACUGCAACCUACAGAAAAUGAGAUGGGUGAAUUGCUUCCAGUUCCACGACUUACAAUUCCCUUGGC